rnacentral:rRNA from 1 species
CCUACGGGAGGCAGCAGUGGGGAAUAUUGCACAAUGGGCGCAAGCCUGGUGCAGCCAUGCCGCGUGUGUGAAGAAGGCCUUCGGGUUGUAAAGCACUUUCAGCGGGGAGGAAGGCGGUGAGGUUAAUAACCUCAUCGAUUGACGUUACCCGCAGAAGAAGCACCGGCUAACUCCGUGCCAGCAGCCGCGGUAAUACGGAGGGUGCAAGCGUUAAUCGGAAUUACUGGGCGUAAGGCGCACGCAGGCGGUCUGUCAAGUCGGAUGUGAAAUCCCCGGGCUCAACCUGGGAACUGCAUUCGAAACUGGCAGGCUAGAGUCUUGUAGAGGGGGGUAGAAUUCCAGGUGUAGCGGUGAAAUGCGUAGAGAUCUGGAGGAAUACCGGUGGCGAAGGCGGCCCCCUGGACAAAGACUGACGCUCAGGUGCGAAAGCGUGGGGAGCAAACAGGAUUAGAUACCCGGGUAGUC